rnacentral:tRNA from 1 species
GAGGGCUUAGCUUAAAUUAAAGUGACUGAUUUGCGUUCAGUAGAUGUGAGAUGUAUCCUUGCAGUCCUUA